rnacentral:rRNA from 1 species
UACAGAGACUGCAAGCGUUAUUCGGAUUCACUGGGCGUAAAGGGUGCGCAGGCGGUUGAGUGUGUCAGAUGUGAAAUCCCGAGGCUCACCUCGGAACUGCGUCUGAAACUACUCGACUAGAGUACUGGAGAGGGUAACGGAAUUCACGGUGGUAGCAGUGAAAUGCGUAGAUAUCGUGAGGACACCAGAGGCGAAGGCGGUUACCUGGACAGUUACUGACGCUCAGGCACGAAAGCAUGGGGAGCAAAGGG